ACCCUGUCUCGAAAAACCAAAAAAAAAAAAAAAAGUAAUCCUAGCAGUUACCACUCUGCCUGGUGAUGGAAGAGAUUCUCAAGGUGAGGCCAGCCAGCGAUGUGCACCUCAUGUGAAAACUUGUCAGAAAUACCUAUUAGUUCUCACCCCAUAUCUGAACUAGAAGUCUGGGACUCAAAGCAUAGCAAAAUGUGUUCCCGCGAGCUGUCUUUUCAACCCCUUUACUGAUAGGAAGGUCAAGCAAGGAUCCUGCCUUACAUCAAGGUUUGUUCAUGACAGCGAGAUGUCCUGAACAAAGAAAGGCGUGUGCCAUGAAGCCUGAUGUUCCAGGUCUGAUCCUCAGAAGCAGUGCAGGGGAGGAGAGCCACCUCCCACACACUGUCCUCUGGCUGCCAGACGGGGACAGUGUCCAAACACCACCAAACCAACAAACAUUUAAAGAAUUUUUAAAAGAAAUUAGAUUUAAUCCUAAAAUAAUUUUUCAUACAUGCUUGCCUCCCAUCAAAAUAACAUUUUAAUAAAAUAGGCAUAAAUCCUGCUACAUGUUAAAGGAUUUUUUUCUGUCCUUUCUCCAUUGUAGAGCAGAGUUCAACAUUACUUAGUAAAAUUUGUAGUUUUUUUUUUUUUUAAAUUAUGCUUACAGGUGUGUGUCUGUUUAGGUAUUUGCACAUGUUUAGGUGUCUGAGGAGUUCAAAGCGGGCAUCAGAGUCCUUGGAGGCGGGGCUAUAGGUGGUUGGGAACAAACUCGGGUCCUCUGGACGAGCAGCAAAUGCUCUUCAGUUCAGAGCCAUCUCUACAGCCCCAGGGAAAUUUAAGGUUGUGUCCAUUUUUAUCUUAUUUUACUUCUCCCAGUGUUAAGAAAUGAACCUAGAGCCGCAGGCACGCUACACCAGCGCUCUGUCACCGAGUCACAUUUCUGACCUUUAUCCUUUCAUUGAAAACUAAUGAAAGUAACUCAAACCCCAUAUAAUUUUAACUACAAAUAAUAGAUAUGUGUAUGUAAUUUCUAAAAUACUAUCUUUUAGCAAGUCACAGCUUUGGCAAAGCAUCCCAGAUUAAAACUUUCAGAUCCAUAAUGUGUUUUACUAUAAAAAUCUUUGCUGUUGAAGUUAUUUUAUUAGUACACUAAAACUACUUCUCUGCUGGGUGAAGGUGGAUCUGGAAGGAAGUAAGAGGAAGAGUGGGAAGAUGGAUAAGGUCAAAUCACUGUCUGCAUGUGUGUUGGCUACUUCUAUGUCAGCUUGACACAAGCUAACGUCAUCUGAGAGGAGAGAGCCUCAACUAAGAAGUUGUCUCCGUAAGCUCAGGCUAGAAACAAACCUGUAGAACAUUUUCUUAGUGGUUGAUAGGAAAGGGUAAUGACCAUUGUGGGUGGGGCUGCCCCUGGGCUACUGGUCCUGGGUGCUGUGAGAAAUCAGACUGAACAAGCCAUGGUGAACAAGCCAGUGAGCAGCACCCCCCUCCCCCCAUGGCCUCUGCAUCAGCUCCUGCCUCCAGGAUUCUACCCUGUUUGAGUUCCUGUCCUGACUUCCUUUGAUGAUGAACUAUGAUGUGGAAGUGUAAACCAAACAAACCUCUCCUCUGCAGGUGCUUCAUCACAACAAUAGUAACCCUAACGAGGACAGCAUUAUGAAAUUCUAAAACAAUAAUAAAAUAAAAAUAUUACAUUUUGAAAAAACUGCUGGCUUAGGUUACUCAACAUGACUGUGUUGAUACAAUAAUCUUAUAAUGUUAUAUCUUUUCCCAAAAGGAUCAUUUUAGUUUUUUAUUCACAAUCAAAUUUAUUUGUAUCUAUUGCUUUAGAUUUUAGUGGUGUAAACAUGUUCUUAGAAAUGUUGAG
rnacentral:lncRNA from 1 species